GAUCACCAGUGAUUUCAAAAUGGAUUUAAUAAUGAGUGCUUUUGAUACAUCAAAAGUGAUAGCAAUGAUUGAUAUCAUUAUAUUCUGCAAUAUCACACCUCACUGCUAGACAUUGAGACACAGCGUUCCUUUUUAUCCGAACAUAAAUUUAAGCUAAGGUUAAGGCUCACGUGAUAUGCAAGGAGCCCAAUACUGUGACAGCUCACACCACAAGGAAUUACUUACACGGAGUUUCUUGAGAGCUAGGGGAAUAGGGAUUCUUAUCCUUUGGAGGCAAAAUCCAAUGUAAGUCUUGCUUAUUGUGUUAUGUUGUCUUCUUUGCCGAAGCUUUCGUUUUGUUGUGUGUUUCUGUUAUUGCGAAAUACUGUGUAUUUCUUUAGUUGCCACCGUACGUGCUGUAUGAAGUUUUACCCGCACUACCUUAAAUAAACGAGUUUGAAUCUUGCUGCCUGACUUUUUCAUCACGGUGGUUGCUCUGGCGAACUCUGGUAGACCACGUAUCUGCGACACUGGGAACACGACACAAAGAAAUUCUUGGUAAAAAACCGGAAAUGAUAGCAAACAGAAACGGCUUAUUCAAUCUACUGAUCAGUUAUCACAUUGAAGGCAUCUAUUCUUUUCCGUCAAACUUAAGCUCAGAAGCUGAGUGGAACCAAGCCGAGAACAUCAAAAUUUACGAAGGCCACAGACAUGCAUCUGGUUGUAAGUAUCUUAAAAACAAAUUUUAAAAACAAAUUUCGUUCUUUUUCAUUCAAAGAAAUCGAAGGUAAGUAAGUUAUUUAAUUUAAAAAUUGAUGGAGUAAUUAUUAAGCAAGUUUUCAUCAAGUUAAAUAUCUAGGUGUUACCUUUGACUGAAAUCUUACCUGGAAAAAUCAUACUAAUGAACUCUGUUCUAAACUAUCGAAAACUGUUGGAAUUUUUUCGAAAUUGAGGUACAAUGUCAACAUUGAUAUCCGCAUUAUGCUCUAUUAUUCAUUAAUCUAUCCCUUUCUUAUCUAUGGUGUUCAAGUGUGGGUUUUAACAUACCCAACCUACUUAAAGCCUGUCACCAAUUUGCAAAAGCGAAUAGCUAGAAUUAUGACAUUCUCAGAACCAUUUUUAAAAUCUCUUAGAGCAGUUUUCAGAUGACCGUCGAAAGUAAUUACGCGAUUGCGAUUGCUACUCUUAAUGAUUGGCUA